GACGAACGCUGGCGGCGUGCUUAACACAUGCAAGUCGAACGGAAAGGCCCUGCUUUUGUGGGGUGCUCGAGUGGCGAACGGGUGAGUAACACGUGAGUAACCUGCCCUUGACUUUGGGAUAACUUCAGGAAACUUGGGCUAAUACCGGAUAGGAGCUCCUGCUGCAUGGUGGGUGUUGGAAAGUUUCGGCGGUUGGGGAUGGACUCGCGGCUUAUCAGCUUGUUGGUGGGGUAGUGGCUUACCAAGGCUUUGACGGGUAGCCGGCCUGAGAGGGUGACCGGCCACAUUGGGACUGAGAUACGGCCCAGACUCCUACGGGAGGCAGCAGUGGGGAAUAUUGCACAAUGGGCGGAAGCCAGAUGCAGCAACGCCGCGUGCGGGAAGACGGCCUUCGGGUUGUAAACCGCUUUCGCCUGUGACGAAGCGUGAGUGACGGUAAUGGGUAAAGAAGCACCGGCUAACUACGUG
rnacentral:rRNA from 1 species